UGCAUUCACUACUGUAAGUCGCUCUGGAUAAGAGCGUCUACUAAAUGACCAAAA
rfam:Salmo salar isolate Sally breed double haploid chromosome ssa22, whole genome shotgun sequence.